rnacentral:rRNA from 2 species
ACAUACGACCAUACCCACUGGAGAACUCGGGAUCCCGUCCGCUCUCCCAUAGAUAAGCCAGUGAGGGCCGGAUUAGUAGUUGGGUCGGUGAUGACCAGCGAAUACCUGGUGUUGUAUGUU